rnacentral:rRNA from 1 species
AAGUUGUUCCAGGAAAUAACCCCGUCAUAAGACCGUACCCGAAACCGACACAGGUGGGAUGGUAGAGUAUACCGAGGCGCUUGAGAGAAUGGUGUUGAAGGAACUAGGCAAAUUGCACCCGUAACUUCGGGAUAAGGGUGACCCCUUUGCGCGCAAGCGUGGGGGGGUGGCACAAACUAGGGGGUGGCGACUGUUUACUAAAAACAUAGGGCUCUGCGAAGUCGCAAGACGACGUAUAGGGUCUGACGCCU